rnacentral:lncRNA from 1 species
AUGUCCUCCUUGUCUUUCUCCACCUCCUCCCAAUCUUUUCAUCCAUGUCCUCCUUGUCUUUCUCCACCUCCCCCCAAUCUUUCUCCUCCAUUUCCUCCUUCUUCUCUUUCUCCACCUCCUCCCAGUCUUUCUCCUCCAGGUCCUUCUUCCUCUCUUUCUUCACCUCCUCCUAGUCUUUCUCCUCCACCUCCUCCCAGUCUUUCUUUGCCUCCUCCUAGUCUUUCUCCUCCAGGUCCUCCUCCUCCCAGUCUUUCUCCUCCAUGUCCUCCUUCUCUUUCUCCCCCUCCUCCCAAUCUUUCUCCUCCAUUUUCUCCUUCUUCUCUUUCUCCACUUCCUCCCAGUCUUUCUCCUGCAGGUCCUCCUUCUUCUCUUUCUUCACGUCCUCCCAGUCUUUCUCCUGCAGGUCCUCCUUCUUCUCUUUCUUCACGUCCUCCCAGUCUUUCUCCUCCAGGUCCUCCUUCUUCUCUUUCUCCACCCCCUCCCAAUCUUUCUCCCCCAGGCCCUCCUUCAUCUCUUUCCCCAUGUCCUCUUUCUUCUCCAUCUCCUUCUCCUCCACCCAGUCUUUCUCCUCCAGGUCCUCCUUCUCUUUGUCCACAUCCUCCCAAUAUUUUCCUCCAUGUCCUCCUUGUCUUUCUCCACCUCCUCCCAAUCUUUUCCUCCAUGUCCUCCUUGUCUUUCUCCACCUCCCCCCAAUCUUUUUCCUCCAUUUCCUCCUUCUUCUCUUUCUCCACCUCCUCCCAGUCUUUCUCCUCCAGGUCCUCCUUCCUCUCAUCUUCACCUCCUCCUAGUCUUUCUCCUCCACGUCCUCCCAGUCUUUCUUCGCCUCCUCCUAGUCUUUCUCCUCCAGGUCCUCCUCCUCCCAGUCUUUCUCCUCCAUGUCCUCCUUCUCUUUCUCCCCCUCCUCCCAAUCUUUCUCCUCCAUUUCCUCCUUCUUCUCUUUCUCCACCUCCUCCCAGUCUUUCUCCUGCAGGUCCUCCUUCUUCUCUUUCUUCACCUCCUCCCAGUCUUUCUCCUCCAGGUCCUCCUCCUCCCAGUCUUUCUCCUCCAUGUCCUCCUUCUCUUUCUCCCCCUCCUCCCAAUCUUGCUCCUCCAUUUCCUCCUUCUUCUCUUUCUCUCCCCUCCUCCCAGUCUUUCUCCUGCAGGUCCUCCUUCUUCUCUUUCUUCACCUCCUCCCAGUCUUUCUCCUCCAGGCCCUCCUUCAUCUCUUUCCCCAUGUCCUCUUUCUUCUCAUUCUCCUUCUCCUCCACCCAGUCUUUCUCCUCCAGGUCCUCCUUCUUCACCUCCUCCCAGUCCUUCUCCUCCAUGUCCUCCUUCUCUUUGUCCACAUACUCACAAUAUUUUCCUCCAUGUCCUCCUUGUCUUUCUCCACCUCCUCCCAAUCGUUCUCCUCCAUUUCCUCCUUCUUCUCUUUGUCCAACUCCUCCCAGUCUUUCUCCUCUUUCUCCACCUCCUCCAAAUCUUUUUCCUCCAUGUCCUCCUUGUCUUUCUCCACCUCCUCCCAACCUUUCUCCUCCAUUUCCUCCUUCCUCUCUUUCUUCACCUCCUCCUAGUCUUUCUCCUCCACCUCCUCCCAGUCUUUCUUCGCCUCCUCCUAGUCUUUCUCCUCCAGGUCCUCCUCCUCCCAGUCUUUCUCCUUCAUGUCCUCCUUCUGUUUCUCCCCCUCCUCCCAAUAUUUCUCCUCCAUUACCUCCUUCUUCUCUUUCUUCACCUCCUCCCAGUCUUUCUCCUCCAGGUCCUCCUUCUCUUUCUCCACCUCCUCCCAAUCUUUCUCCUCCAGGCCCUCCUUCAUCUCUUUCCCCAUGUCCUCUUUCUUCUCCAUCUCCUUCUCCUCCACCCAGUCUUUCUCCUCCAGGUCCUCCUUCUUCACUUCCUCCCAGUCUUUCUCCUCCAUGUCCUCCUUCUCUUUGUCCACAUCCUCCCAAUAUUUUCCUCCAUGUCCUCCUUGUCUUUCUCCACCUCCUCCCAAUCUUUCUCCUCCAUUUCCUCCUUCUUCUCUUUGUCCAACUCCUCCCAGUCUUUCUCCUCUUCUUUCUUCACCUCCUCUUAGUCUUUCUCCUCCACCUCCUCCCAGUUGUUCUCCGCCUCCUCAAAAUCUUUCUCCUCCACCUCCUCCCAGUCUUGCUCCGCCUCCUCAAAAUCUCUCCUCUCCUCCUCCAGGUCCUCCUCCAAAAUCUCUCAUCUCCUCCUCCAGGUCCUCCUCCUUCAAAUCUUUCUCCUCCAGGUCCUCUCUCUUCUCUUUCUUCACCUCCUCCCAGUCUUUCUCCUCCAGGCCCUCCUUUAUCUCUUUCCCCAUGUCCUCUUUCUUCUCAUUCUCCUUCUCCUCCAGGUCCUCCUUCUUCACCUCCUCCCAGUCUUUCUCCUCCAUGUCCUCCUUCUCUUUGUCCACAUACUCACAAUAUUUUCCUCCAUGUCCUCCUUGUCUUUCUCCACCUCCUCCCAAUCUUUCUCCUCCAUUUCCUCCUUCUUCUUUGUCCAACUCCUCCCAGUCUUUCUCCUCUUUCUCCACCUCCUCCAAAUCUUUUUCCUCCAUGUCCUCCUUGUCUUUCUCCACCUCCUCCCAACCUUUCUCCUCCAUUUCCUCCUUCCUCUCUUUCUUCACCUCCUCCUAGUCUUUCUCCUCCACCUCCUCCCCGUCUUUCUUCGCCUCCUCCUAGUCUUUCUCCUCCAGGCCCUCCUCCUCCCAGUCUUUCUCCUUCAUGUCCUCCUUCUGUUUCUCCCCCUCCUCCCAAUAUUUCUCCUCCAUUACCUCCUUCUUCUCUUUCUUCACCUCCUCCCAGUCUUUCUCCUCCAGGUCCUCCUUCUCUUUCUCCACCUCCUCCCAAUCUUUCUCCUCCAGGCCCUCCUUCAUCUCUUUCCCCAUGUCCUCUUUCUUCUCCAUCUCCUUCUCCUCCACCCAGUCUUUCUCCUCCAGGUCCUCCUUCUUCACUUCCUCCCAGUCUUUCUCCUCCAUGUCCUCCUUCUCUUUGUCCACAUCCUCCCAAUAUUUUCCUCCAUGUCCUCCUUGUCUUUCUCCACCUCCUCCCAAUCUUUCUCCUCCAUUUCCUCCUUCUUCUCUUUGUCCAACUCCUCCCAGUCUUUCUCCUCCUCUUUCUUCACCUCCUCUUAGUCUUUCUCCUCCACCUCCUCCCAGUUGUUCUCCGCCUCCUCAAAAUCUUUCUCCUCCACCUCCUCCCAGUCUUGCUCCGCCUCCUCAAAAUCUCUCCUCUCCUCCUCCAGGUCCUCCUCCAAAAUCUCUCAUCUCCUCCUCCAGGUCCUCCUCCCAGUCUUGCUCCGCCUCCUCAAAAUCUCUCCUCUCCUCCUCCAGGUCCUCCUCCAAAAUCUCUCAUCUCCUCCUCCAGGUCCUCCUCCUUCAAAUCUUUCUCCUCCAGGUCCUCUCUCUUCUCUUUCUCCAUAUCCUCCCAAUCUUUCUCCUCCAGGUCCUCCUUCUCUUUCUCCACCUCCUCCCAGUUUUUCUCCUCCAGGCCCUCCUCCUCCUCUUUCUCCACCUCCUCCAAAUCUUUCUCCUCCAUGUCCCCCUUUGUCUCCAUCUCCUCCUCCUCCACCCAGUCUUUCUCCUCCAGGUCCUCCUUCUUCACCUCCUCCCAGUCUUUUGGGGCCCGGUUCUGCGGCUGCUUCAUCGCUGGCGUCCAGCAUCUGAAUGCGAAUCCGCUUCCUGCGUUUUGGUCCACAUGUAAAACUGCAGAGUUCCUGAUUCAAUGA